CGGACCGGCGCACGGUGAGUAACGCGUAUGCAACUUACCUAUCAGAGGGGGAUAACCCGGCGAAAGUCGGACUAAUACCGCAUAAAGCAGGGAUCCCGCAUGGGAAUAUUUGCUAAAGAUUCAUCGCUGAUAGAUAGGCAUGCGUUCCAUUAGGCAGUUGGCGGGGUAACGGCCCACCAAACCGACGAUGGAUAGGGGUUCUGAGAGGAAGGUCCCCCACAUUGGUACUGAGACACGGUCCAA
rnacentral:rRNA from 1 species